rnacentral:rRNA from 1 species
GUGAGGAAUAUUGGACAAUGGAUGGAAAUCUGAUCCAGCCAUGCCGCGUGCAGGAAGACGGCCCUAUGGGUUGUAAACUGCUUUUGUAUGGGAGCAAUAAGGGUUACGAGUAGCCUGAUGAGAGUACCAUACGAAUAAGGACCGGCUAACUCCGUGCCAGCAGCCGCGGUAAUACGGAGGGUCCGAGCGUUAUCCGGAUUUAUUGGGUUUAAAGGGUGCGUAGGCGGUUUUAUAAGUCAGCGGUGAAAUUUUCCGGCUCAACCGGGGGACUGCCGUUGAUACUGUAAGGCUAGGAUAUGGUUGCUGUGGGUGGAAUGUGUGGUGUAGCGGUGAAAUGCUUAGAGAUCACACAGAAUAUCGAUUGCGAAGGCAGCUCACAAAGCCAUCAUUGACGCUGAGGCACGAAAGUGUGGGGAUCAAACAGGAUUAGAAACCCGAGUAGUCC